GAUGAACGCUGGCGGCGUGCCUAAUACAUGCAAGUCGAGCGAACGGACGAGAAGCUUGCUUCUCUGAUGUUAGCGGCGGACGGGUGAGUAACACGUGGAUAACCUACCUAUAAGACUGGGAUAACUUCGGGAAACCGUAGCUAAUACCGGAUAAUAUUUUGAACCGCAUGGUUCAAAAGUGAAAGACGGUCUUGCUGUCACUUAUAGAUGGAUCCGCGCUGCAUUAGCUAGUUGGUAAGGUAACGGCUUACCAAGGCAACGAUGCAUAGCCGACCUGAGAGGGUGAUCGGCCACACUGGAACUGAGACACGGUCCAGACUCCUACGGGAGGCAGCAGUAGGGAAUCUUCCGCAAUGGGCGAAAGCCUGACGGAGCAACGCCGCGUGAGUGAUGAAGGUCUGCGGAUCGAAAACUCUGUUAUUAGGGAAGAACAUAUGUGUAAGUAACUGUGCACAUCUUGACGGUACCUAAUCAGAAAGCCACGGCUAACUACGUG
rnacentral:rRNA from 1 species